rnacentral:rRNA from 1 species
AAAUUGAAGAGUUUGAUCAUGGCUCAGAUUGAACGCUGGCGGCAGGCCUAACACAUGCAAGUCGAACGGUAACAGGAAGCAGCUUGCUGCUUCGCUGACGAGUGGCGGACGGGUGAGUAAUGUCUGGGAAACUGCCUGAUGGAGGGGGAUAACUACUGGAAACGGUAGCUAAUACCGCAUAACGUCGCAAGACCAAAGAGGGGGACCUUCGGGCCUCUUGCCAUCGGAUGUGCCCAGAUGGGAUUAGCUUGUUGGUGGGGUAACGGCUCACCAAGGCGACGAUCCCUAGCUGGUCUGAGAGGAUGACCAGCCACACUGGAACUGAGACACGGUCCAGACUCCUACGGGAGGC